ACAACCUUACUUGAACAGGAUCUGUUCUAUAGGCUCGUACAAUCGUAUCCAAAGGAGACGGGCAACUCAGUCUGGUGGAUGACUCUUGACCUCAAGGCUAAAGCAUGAUUAAUGGUAAGAAACCUUCGGAGUUCUUGCUAUGGAGGAUCGUUCUCGGACGAUUUCGAUCGCCUCGGAUGGCCUUGAGGUUGUCUGACAGACU